rnacentral:rRNA from 1 species
GUGAGGAAUAUUGGUCAAUGGGCGCAAGCCUGAACCAGCCAUGCCGCGUGCAGGAAGACGGUCCUAUGGAUUGUAAACUGCUUUUAUUUGGGAAUAAACUCCGGUACGUGUACCGGCCUGAAGGUACCAAAUGAAUAAGCACCGGCUAACUCCGUGCCAGCAGCCGCGGUAAUACGGAGGGUACAAGCGUUAUCCGGAAUCAUUGGGUUUAAAGGGUCCGCAGGCGGUCUUAUAAGUCAGUGGUGAAAGCCUACAGCUCAACUGUAGAACUGCCAUUGAUACUGUAGGACUUGAUUUCGAUCGAAGUGGGCGGAAUGUGACAUGUAGCGGUGAAAUGCUUAGAUAUGUCACAGAACACCGAUAGCGAAGGCAGCUCACUAGGUCUGGAUUGACGCUCAGGGACGAAAGCGUGGGGAGCAAACAGGAUUAGAUACCCUUGUAGUCC